rnacentral:rRNA from 1 species
UACGAAGGGGGCUAGCGUUGUUCGGAAUUACUGGGCGUAAAGCGCACGUAGGCGGAUAUUUAAGUCAGGGGUGAAAUCCCAGAGCUCAACUCUGGAACUGCCUUUGAUACUGGGUAUCUGGAGUAUGGAAGAGGUGAGUGGAAUUCCGAGUGUAGAGGUGAAAUUCGUAGAUAUUCGGAGGAACACCAGUGGCGAAGGCGGCUCACUGGUCCAUUACUGACGCUGAGGUGCGAAAGCGUGGGGAUCAAACAGG